GGGGGUUUAGCUCAGCUGGUAGAGCACCUGCUUUGCAAGCAGGGGGUCAGGAGUUCGAAUCUCCUAACCUCCACCA
rnacentral:tRNA from 1 species